CAGAGUAUAGCUAAAUAGCAAAGCAUUUCACUUACACCGAAAAGUUAUUCGUGCAAACCGAAUUACUCUGA
rnacentral:tRNA from 1 species